rnacentral:rRNA from 1 species
AUUGAACGCUGGCGGAAUGCUUUACACAUGCAAGUCGAGCGGCAGCGCGGUCUUCGGACUGGCGGCGAGCGGCGAACGGGUGAGUAAUACAUCGGAACAUGCCCAGUCGUGGGGGAUAACACUUCGAAAGAAGUGCUAAUACCGCAUACGUCCUGAGGGAGAAAGCGGGGGAUCGCAAGACCUCGCGCGAUUGGAGUGGCCGAUGUCAGAUUAGCUAGUUGGUGGGGUAAAGGCCUACCAAGGCAACGAUCUGUAGCUGGUCUGAGAGGAUGAUCAGCCAAACUGGGACUGAGACACGGCCCAGACUCCUACGGGAGGCAGCAGUGGGGAAUUUUGGACAAUGGGGCAACCCUGAUCCAGCCAUUCCGCGUGAGUGAAGAAGGCCUUCGGGUUGUAAAGCUCUUUCGGCAGGAACGAAACGGCGAGCUCUAACAUAGCUCGCUAAUGACGGUACCUGAAGAAGAAGCACCGGCUAACUACGUGCCAGCCGCCGCGGUAACAC